GAUGAACGCUGGCGGCGUGCUUAACACAUGCAAGUCGAACGAGGUUAAUUGAGCGGAUUAUUUCGGUAUGAAGCGCUUUUAACUGAGUGGCGGACGGGUGAGUAACGCGUGGAUAACCUGCCUCUCACAGGGGGAUAGCAGCUGGAAACGACUGCUAAUACCGCAUAAGCGCACGGUAUCGCAUGAUAUAGUGUGAAAAGAUUUAUCGGUGUAAGAUGGACCCGCGUCUGAUUAGAUAGUUGGUGAGGUAACGGCUCACCAAGUCGACGAUCAGUAGCCGGCCUGAGAGGGUGAACGGCCACAUUGGGACUGAGACACGGCCCAAACUCC
rnacentral:rRNA from 1 species